CUGCAGUCGAACGCUUCUUUUUCCACCGGAGCUUGCUCCACCGGAAAAAGAGGAGUGGCGAACGGGUGAGUAACACGUGGGUAACCUGCCCAUCAGAAGGGGAUAACACUUGGAAACAGGUGCUAAUACCGUAUAACAAUCGAAACCGCAUGGUUUUGAUUUGAAAGGCGCUUUCGGGUGUCGCUGAUGGAUGGACCCGCGGUGCAUUAGCUAGUUGGUGAGGUAACGGCUCCCCAAGGCGACGAUGCAUAGCCGACCUGAGAGGGUGAUCGGCCACUUUGGGACUGAGACACGGCCCAAACUCCUACGGGAGGCAGCAGUAGGGAAUCUUCGGCAAUGGACGAAAGUCUGACCGAGCAACGCCGCGUGAGUGAAGAAGGUUUUCGGAUCGUAAAACUCUGUUGUUAGAGAAAAACAAGGAUGAGAGUAACUGUUCAUCCCUUGACGGUAUCUAACCAGAAAGCCACGGCUAACUACGUGCCAGCAGCCGCGGUAAUACGUAGGUGGCAAGCGUUGUCCGGAUUUAUUGGGCGUAAAGCGAGCGCAGGCGGUUUUUUAAGUCUGAUGUGAAAGCCCCCGGCUCAACCGGGGAGGGUCAUUGGAAACUGGGAGACUUGAGUGCAGAAGAGGAAAGUGGAAUUCCAUGUGUAGCGGUGAAAUGCGUAGAUAUAUGGAGGAACACCAGUGGCGAAAGCCGCUCUUCUGGGCUGUAACUGACACUGAAGCUCGAAAGCGCUGGGGAGCCCACAGGAUUACAUACCCCUGGUA
rnacentral:rRNA from 1 species